rnacentral:sRNA from 1 species
GAGGGGAGGAAGGGAACAGGUUAAAGAAAACAAGAAACACAAUCAGACCACAGAAAAGCCAGGCAGAAAAGAGUUCGACGGGCAAAAAGAAUGUGGCUGUCCAGAUAAAGAAUGUCUGUCCCGGCCCCGGCCUGUGCCGCCUGCCACCCAGGCUCCCGCCCACCCCGCAGCCCCGCCAGUGGCUUCUCGCCUCCCCUCUGCCUCGGAUAGGGUUAGGGCCUGAGGCCUCGCUAGGAGCAUCGGCUGUUUCAGGACCUGGAGAAAGGCCCCCAGCUCUACCCUGAGAGGACGUGCUCCUCCACGCUCCUCCGCAAAUGCUGUCCCUCUUCCCCAGCCCAGGGCCCGGGAUUCGGUGUGUCUGGGCCAUUCCAACCCCCGUCUCCCCACCUCUCCGCAUGGCCCUCGUGCCUUGACACUGGGCAGGGAAGGCUGACGGAGGGGCCGGGAGGGGUGGCGGUCGCCCAGGCUAACGUGUCCGUCG